UGCGAUAGACCCUGCAUGAAAAACACCAGGGAAUCUGUAUUUAAGUGACCUUAAUAUUAUGCGUAAACCUAAGUGUGCAUUUGUAGGCGGUGUCGAAAUGGGUCUAUAGCUCUGCCUGAACUGUCGUCCAAUUGGUUUACAAGUCCGGCUGAAGUGACAGGCCAUCAAAAACUGUACAGUGUGACUGAUUCGGAGACGGCCCUCAACACUCGCCCAGUCGUGUCGAGAGGAUCGGUGUCUUUGCAGAUUACACGGAAUUGAGCACCCGGGCCAGACUGACACUUUCCGGAGCCUGCCCUAGACGGAACUCGAGCCGAGGAAUCAUAGGUCCAGGUGUGACAAAAGACUUAAAGCUCAUGUCUGACGAUGACUUUUUUUAGUCAGGAAGCCAAGUGUGUUGUUUUUCCAUGCAAGCGAGCCCUUUUGUUGGGUCAAAUGACAUCAGCAUUGCUGCUUCUACAUGGAUUUUACCUAAAAUGUGCAAAAAAAAUAUAAAAAGUU